rnacentral:rRNA from 1 species
UACGAAGGGGGCGAGCGUUGUUCGGAUUUACUGGGCGUAAAGGGCGCGUAGGCGGCGGCCCAAGUCGAGUGUGAAAGCCCCGGGCUCAACCUGGGAGGUGCGCUCGAGACUGGUUUGCUGGAGUUCGGGAGAGGAGCGUGGAAUUCCCAGUGUAGAGGUGAAAUUCGUAGAUAUUGGGAAGAACACCGGUGGCGAAGGCGGCGCUCUGGACCGAGACUGACGCUGAGGCGCGAAAGCGUGGGGAGCAAACAGG